rnacentral:lncRNA from 1 species
GCUGUGGUCUGUAAUAGAUAUACAUUGAUACAUAUUUUAUCAGUAAUAAAUUGAAAUAAGAAGCUUAAUACAUUACAGUCCUGUGAAUACUAUCACUAAUACUUAGCAGUAUUGUGAUGCAAUGGAAGAGGAAACUGUUUUCUUAGAAAAUAGAUGUAAGACUAGUGAAGGAGAUCUCUAUGUAAACCAAUCAAUCAAAACAUGAAAGCAUUACAGGUAGAUUUUAAACG